rnacentral:rRNA from 1 species
GACGAACGCUGGCGGCGUGCUUAACACAUGCAAGUCGAGCGGAAAGGCCCUUUCUUUGUUACUCGAUCGGCUAACGGGCGGGUAACACGUGAGUAAUUUGCCCUUCACUUGGGUAGAACCUCCGGAAACGGUGUCUAAUACCCGCUACGUCCAUUCUCCUCAUGCGUUGGUGGUGGAAGGUUGUUCGGUGGGGGGUGUGCUCGCGGCCUAUCAGCUUGUUGGUGGGGUAAUGGCCUACCAAGGCUUCCAUGGGUAGCCGGCCUGAGAGGGUGACCGGCCACACGGGGACUGAGACACGGCCCAGACUCCUACGGGAGGAAGCGGUGGGGAAUAUUGGACAAUGGGCGAAAGCCUGAUCCAGAAACGCCGCGGGAGGGAGGACGGCCUUCGGGUGGUAACCCUCUUUCACCUGUGACGAAGCGAAAGUGACGGUAGCAGGAGAAGAAGCACCGGCCAACUACGU